AGCAGCCGCGGUAAUUCCAGCUCCAAUAGCGUAUAUUAAAGUUGUUGCAGUUAAAAAGCUCGUAGUUGAAUUUCGGGAUCAAGGAAUCGGUCAUGCCUUGGUAUGUACUGGUUUUAUUGGUUCUCACCUUCUAAAGAACCAUGAUGUCAUUCAUUUGAUGUUAUGGGGAAUUAGGACUGUUACCUUGAAAAAAUUAGAGUGUUUAAAGCAAGCUUACGCUUGAAUACAUUAGCAUGGAAUAAUGAAAUAGGACAUCAGAUUCUAUUUUGUGGUUUCUAGGAUCGAUGUAAUGAUUAAUAGGGAUAGUUGGGGGCAUUAGUAUUCAAUUGUCAGAGGUGAAAUUCUUGGAUUUAUUGAAGACUAACUACUGCGAAAGUAUUUGCCAAGGAUGUUUUCAUUAAUCAAGAACGAAAGUUAGGGGAUCGAAGACGAUCAGAUACCGUCGUAGUCUUAACCAUAAACUAUGCCGACUAGGGAUCGGAUGAUGUUAAUUUUUAA
rnacentral:rRNA from 1 species